rnacentral:rRNA from 1 species
AUUGAACGCUGGCGGCAUGCCUUACACAUGCAAGUCGAACGGUAACGCGGGGCAACCUGGCGACGAGUGGCGAACGGGUGAGUAAUGCAUCGGAACGUGCCUGGUAGUGGGGGAUAACUGCUCGAAAGAGCAGCUAAUACCGCAUACGACCUGAGGGUGAAAGGGGGGGAUCGCAAGACCUCUCGCUAUCAGAGCGGCCGAUGUCGGAUUAGCUAGUUGGUGGGGUAAAGGCCCACCAAGGCGACGAUCCGUAGCUGGUCUGAGAGGACGACCAGCCACACUGGGACUGAGACACGGCCCAGACUCCUACGGGAGGCAGCAGUGGGGAAUUUUGGACAAUGGACGCAAGUCUGAUCCAGCCAUGCCGCGUGCGGGAAGAAGGCCUUCGGGUUGUAAACCGCUUUUGUCAGGGGAGAAAUCUUCUGGGUUAAUACCUCGGGAGGAUGACGGUACCUGAAGAAUAAGCACCGGCUAACUACGUGCCAGCCGCCGCCGUAA